rnacentral:rRNA from 1 species
CCUACGGGUGACUGCAGUGAGGAAUAUUGGUCAAUGGACGGAAGUCUGAACCAGCCAUGCCGCGUGCAGGAAGACGGCUCUAUGAGUUGUAAACUGCUUUUGUACAAGGGUAAACCUGAAUACGUGUAUUCAGCUGAAAGUACUGUACGAAUAAGGAUCGGCUAACUCCGUGCCAGCAGCCGCGGUGAUACAUAGGGGGCAAGCGUUGUCCGGAAUGACUGGUUGUAAAGGGUGUGUAGGUGGCUUAUUAAGGUAGAGGGGAAAGCCCGAAGCUCAACUUCGGAACUGCCUUUAAAACUGGUUGGCUUGAGUGUGGGAGAGGUUAGUGGAACUCCUAGUGUAGCGGUGGAAUGCGUAGAUAUUAGGAAGAACAUCAGAGGCGAAGGCGACUAACUGGAACAUUACUGACACUGAAACACGAAAGCGUGGGGAGCAAACAGGAUUAGAUACCCCAGUAGUC